GGAGACCGGGACCAGCGCUUCCCACAUGUUUGAUGAUUUCGUACUCUCGUGUGACCGGGUUGCCUGGAAGAACGGUGCUCAGGUUCGAAACUGUGGUCCUUAGUCGGUUGAACACCUCCAUCCUUGGCUGUGAUCACAGGGAAAACGAGCCUUGUAGAGCGCUAUCUACGCCGGGUCGGUCGCAUCGUUUUGAGAUUGAAGAAUAUAGAUCGCAGCAGCUGUUUUUUUUAGUAGCCGGAAUGCACAGUCAGGGCGUCUACCAAAAUGCUCUGCAGACAGCUCAGCUGACGACGACCCUGCCACGAGCCAAAGUACGCAGCAUCGCAGUCUCCCGACGUGGGCUCAUGAGGGUGCUUGCCCAGCUCAGGCCCAGCGAGCAUGAGCUAGAGAAUCAAC
rnacentral:lncRNA from 1 species